rnacentral:sRNA from 3 species
UUUUUUAUAACAUAUUGAAAAUAAAUGAUUUUAAUUUAAAUCCUGUCUGGUUAUUCUAAAAAAUAAUUUAAAAUUAUUAAUAUAAUUUUUUCUGUCGCGGUUGACUCAUCUCCUGAAAAUGCCGUGAGUUCUCGUCCUUCAGGACGAUAUUCUUUUGAG